GAUACCAGGGUCAAAAGGUCAAAAAUACGAUGCAAGCUGGCUUGCAAGAGGAUUUUGAUCUUGGGACCCACCAAAACAUGAGUAAAGAAGCUAUUUUUCCAAGAAAAAUAUGCGAUUUACGAAUGUUUUGAGGAGUGUGAAAGCACAUGGUGCGGAACACUCCGG
rnacentral:sRNA from 1 species